UACGCAGGCGGCCAACUAAGUUAGUGGUGAAAUCUUGAGGCUUAACCUCAAGCGGCCCAUUAAAACUGAUUGGCUAGAGUUGUAAUAGAGGCAGCAGGAAUUCCUAGUGUAGGAGUGAAAUCUGUAGAUAUUAGGAGGAACACCAAUGGCGAAGGCAAGCUGCUGGGUAACGACUGACGCUAAUGUACGAAAGCCAGGGGAGCGAAUG
rnacentral:rRNA from 1 species